UAUUCUGGUGUAACUGAGAUUCAGG
rnacentral:piRNA from 1 species